UAUCCCUACGGGGCGCAGCAGUGAGGAAUAUUGGUCAAUGGGCGGAAGCCUGAACCAGCCAAGUCGCGUGAGGGAAGAAGGCCCUGCGGGUCGCAGACCUCUUUGGACGGGGAGCAAGGCCGCCGACGUGUCGGCGGAAGGAGAGUACCCGUAGAACAAGCAUCGGCUAACUCCGUGCCAGCAGCCGCGGUAAUACGGAGGAUGCGAGCGUUAUCCGGAUUUAUUGGGUUUAAAGGGUGCGUAGGCGGUAUUUUAAGUUAGUGGUAAAACGACGGGGCUUCACCUUGUUUGGCCAUUAAAAAUGG
rnacentral:rRNA from 1 species